AUUGAACGCUGGCGGCAGGCCUAACACAUGCAAGUCGAGCGGAUGAAGGGAGCUUGCUCCUGGAUUCAGCGGCGGACGGGUGAGUAAUGCCUAGGAAUCUGCCUGGUAGUGGGGGAUAACGUCCGGAAACGGGCGCUAAUACCGCAUACGUCCUGAGGGAGAAAGCGGGGGAUCUUCGGACCUCACGCUAUCAGAUGAGCCUAGGUCGGAUUAGCUAGUUGGUGGGGUAAAGGCCUACCAAGGCGACGAUCCGUAACUGGUCUGAGAGGAUGAUCAGUCACACUGGAACUGAGACACGGUCCAGACUCCUACGGGAGGCAGCAGUGGGGAAUAUUGGACAAUGGGCGAAAGCCUGAUCCAGCCAUGCCGCGUGUGUGAAGAAGGUCUUCGGAUUGUAAAGCACUUUAAGUUGGGAGGAAGGGCAGUAAGUUAAUACCUUGCUGUAUUGACGUUACCAACAGAAUAAGCACCGGCUAACUUCGUG
rnacentral:rRNA from 1 species